CUCAGACAGGCACGGGCCUCUGUUCCGGAGCUCAGUUGCUGCAGUCAGAAGCCUCUGACCCUGGAUGAGGCCAAUGGGCAGCUCUGAUUUAAUAAACGGCAACAAGGCGGGAUCAUAGGUACCUGGCCUCUGAUUGGUGUGACUCCUGGAUGAAAAAUGAUAAAGCCACUGUCCUUUAGGGAGAAAAGAAGUACCUCUUGUCCAACAGGAUACGGUAGAUGCUCAACCAUUGCACAGAAGACAAUGUUCGCUAGCAGUUAACAAAGCUGACAUAGGAAGAGAAGCAGAGACAGAAGAUGGAAGAAAUAAGAUGGAAAGACUCAACAGUUUAAAGAAGUCGAUCCUCCUCAUAUGCAUUCAAAGAAAAGAUGUGUCAGACAAAAAGAAGAAGAAGAAGAAGAAAAGAAGAAGAAGAAGAAGAAGCUGAUUACCAGCGGGUUUUCUCAAAGGGCACUGCAUUUUCAGCCUGAUGCCUGGAAUUUCUUGGCCCAUCAAAAAAAAAAUAAUUAGUCUCUUGGUGAGAAAUUCAGGCUGAGUUAGUGAGAAGACUGAUGAUUUUCUAAUCAGAUGGUCCCAGGUUCAUAUUUUUAGAUCCAUCACUUACUAGCUAUAUGUUCUUGGACUUCAGUUUCUCAUAUGUUAAAAUAGAAAGAAUAAAACCAUGUACUUACAUAUGGCUUGUUGUUUAAUAUAGUGGCUAUUUUAGCAUCCUACAUCAGAAUGUUUGUAAGCAUCUAUUCUAGAACACGUCUCAAUAAUUUUUGUUGUUGUUCCCUUGGGAUUCUUUGAUGAUGGUGAUGGUAAUAGAGAAAUCCCGAGAUUUAAGUACUUGGGAAGUUGAUUUACAAA